AAACAAUGGUGGCAGAAUACACAAGCCAUCCGCCAGGGGAUUACGAGCACCUAGCUUAAAACCCAAAGGACUUGACGGUGCCUUAGGUCCACUUAGAGGAGCCUGUCCUAUAACCGAUAUACCUCGUUGAACCUCACUACUCCUUGCCAAAUCAGCCUAUAUACCACCGUCGGCAGCUUACCUUGUGAGAGCCAUUGUAGUGAGCUAAAUGGAAUAAAGAUCCAGAACGUCAGGUCGAGGUGUAGCAAACGGGGUAGGAAGAGAUGGGCUACACUUUCUGGAUCAGAAAAGACGAAAGGUGGAAUGAAAAUAACACAACCGAAGGUGGAUUUAACAGUAAGAUGAAAAAAGAGAGUCAA
rnacentral:rRNA from 1 species